GGACUACCGGGGUAUCUAAUCCUGUUUGCUCCCCACGCUUUCGCGCCUCAGCGUCAGUUAAGGACCAGGCAGCCGCCUUCGCCACCGGUGUUCUUCCCAAUAUCUACGAAUUUCACCUCUACACUGGGAAUUCCACUACCCUCUUCCUCACUCUAGACUUAACGUAUCAAAUGCAGCCCCCAGGUUAAGCCCGGGAAUUUCACAUCUGACUGUCAAAUCCGCCUACGCGCCCUUUACGCCCAGUCAUUCCGAGCAACGCUAGCCCCCUUCGUAUUACCGCGGCUGCUGGCAC
rnacentral:rRNA from 1 species